ACCCCAGGAUCGAAGAGGGCGCACGGGCCCGGCCCUCCCACGCGCCCUCCAGGGACCCGGCAGCCAGACAGACGGACAGGCGGACCGCUAGGGAGCUCAAGUACCCGGACACACGCACGAGCGCAGAACAAAGGGCCGGACAUGCUCCAGCCCGCUCCGCCUGCGCCUCGGCCUUGCGCGCGGGGGCCCGGGUUACCUGCGCAGGUGAGUUGGGUGGGGCCGGGUCCGCCGAGGUUCCGGUCCCAGCUUCCUGCGCGGCUCGGGUCGCGGCUUCCGACCCGGUGCUCGGAGAGCUGGGGCUCGGCCGCCUUCUCCCCCUGGUUUCUGGUGAAACUGAGUCAGCGCCGUCGGGGCGGGGCCGACAUUCACCCUUGCGCUGCCGGCCCCGCCCACGCCCGGUGCGCUGCGGCCGCCUCUAGCGCGGAGCUCCAGGCCCGGCCCGCCCCGCGGCCCCGCAGCCCCGGUGCCUCCCCGGCAGCCAGCUCCCCGGAGGGGCUCUCGGGCUCCACCCAGUCCAGCCUCGCGAGGGAGCCCCGCGCCCGAAGCGCAUACCCAGCCGGGAGGGGAUGCGGCCGGGACGCGAGGGUCCGGCCUCUGGGGCGGCGGCCUCCAGUCUUCCUUUCCGGCCGGGGCCUGCUUUCCCAGCCCCAGACCUGAGGCCCGAUGCAAAUGAUCUUUCCGGCCCUCAGGAAAUCAUUUCCAUUUCGUGGCGGGAAGGUAACCCAAAAGUUGCGUGGCUGCACCUGUGAUAACAGGGAUCCGGGAUGUCUGCCUCACUGUCAGCUCCGGGAAGCCCUCCCUGCUGUCAGGGUGAGAAACGGAGGCGAUUCCCCGCGUCCAGGCUCCCCUGCGUGCUCCACGGGGCUUCCCUGUUGUUCGAGGCCCCUCCUCAUCUUGUAUGUACAGUUCGGUCCAUUCCCUGCUAUGGCUCAUUGGACUGUUGCCCCCUUCCCUGGAGCCCAGGCUUCCUCUCUUUCACAAAGGGGACGCUGCUGGCUACUUUCUUCCAGGGAAAUGUCAUCCUUGGAAGCCUGGAGGUUCCAGUUCACCAAGUAGCUGAGUUAAUGCCCUUCACGAAACAGUGGACUCCUUGAAGCCAAGCUCAUUGCUCCUCCUGAGUAAAAAACUCUUAAGAGACCAUUCUCUACGGCAAGGGUCUGAACAGGUGAAAGACAGAUGAAGGCAGGGCUGGAGGAAGGAAUCACAUAGCAUGCUCUCUUAAAAUACAGAUUCCAAACCUUUUCCUGAUGGCUUAACAACCCCCAAACCAAUGGGAACAUUCUUCCCAGUUUCUCAUCCAGAGCAGCUUUGCCUAGCAGAUCCUGUGGCCAACCCUUGGAUUUUGCUGAACUGCAACAUCCUCCAGCUGCUCACAUGAUGCGUGUUGGGGUGGGAAUCUGGGGCCUGUCUCCCCUUCUCUGGAUGUUUAGGGUUUAUCCACAGACCCUGGCACACUGGUGGAUAUACAACAAUGGUGGUAUGCUGGGAAUGAAGAAAAUGAUUGUGCAGUCACUGGGAAGAAAGGGUUUUGUUGUGAUUUGAUUUCCCCUUAUGGCUAACACAUUCAAGAAUCUUUAUUUAUUUAUUUAUUUAUUUUUUUUUUUUUUUUUUUGAGACGGAGUCUUGCUCUGUCACCCAGGCUGGAGUGCAAUGGCACGAUCUCGGCUCACUGCAACCUCUGCCUUCCAGAUUCAGGAAAUUCUGCCUCAGCCUCCCAAGUAGCUGGGCUUACAGGUGGGCACCACCACGCCGAGCUAAUUUUUGUAUUUUUAGUAGAAACGAGGUUUCACCUUUUUGGCCAGGCUGGUCUUGAACUCCUGACCUCAGGUGAUCCACCCACCUCGGCCUCCCAAAGUGCUAGGAUUAUAGGCGUGAGCCACUGUGCCUGACCUCAAGAAUCUUAAUACAGGAAAAUAUUACCUUAUGGUAAUAUUACAUCACCAUAAAUUUAUCAUUACAUCCAUUAUACACACCAUUAUAAAAACCAACAUGAAUUCAGCACUGACAAUGCCCAAACUCUGUUCCUAAGCACUGCCCACAUAUUACCCUAUACUCAAAACAAACCUAGGGAGGUAGUAUUUUUAGCCCCAUUUUACAAAUGAGCAAACAGGCUCAGACAGGUAAACUGACUUGUCAGGUCAUUCAGCAUUGAAGCGGCAGAGUAGGGAUUGGAGCCCAGGCAGGCCAAUUCCAUGGCUUCAGUGCUUAAACCCUGGGCUUUAUGGCCUUUGCAAUUCUGACUUCAUCUGGAAGUUCUGCCCUCACCUCAGAUUCAACUUGCUUAAACCCAUAACUCACUUUCAAGUGGUGAGCACCCACCAUUUGUUGAGAUGCCCACUGUGUUCCCUCCAGGCACUUGACAUAGGAUUGCUAAUGCUCAGGACAACUCUAAAAAUUGCUUCCACUUUGCAGAAAGGUUCACUGACUCCAUCAAGGUCAGGUAGUGAACGAAGAGUGGUGACAGGUUGUAGAGAAGUUGAACUUGUGAGCUUCAGACUCAGACUACUGGAUUUAGCUCUUGCAUCUGCCACUUACUAUUCGUGUGGCCUUGUGCAAGUUAUUUGAUCUCUCUGCCUUAGUCUCCUUGAAUGGGAAGUGGGGCUUCAUAAGGUUUUUUAUGAGGAUUAAUUGAGUUAAUGCAGACAAAGCAUUUGACACAAAGAGUUCUCAAUAAAUGUUACUUGAAACGACAACAACAACAACAACAAAAACACAUGGUGGUGAGGAUGCAGAGAAAAGGGAACGCUUAUACAUUGUUGGUGGGAAUGUAAAUCAGUUCAGCCACUGUGGAAAGCAGCUUGGAGAUUUCUCAAAAACUUAGAACUACCAUUCAACUCAGCAAUCCUAUUACUGGGUAUAUACCCAAAGGAAAAUAUAUUGUUUUUCCAAAAAGACACAUGCACUUGUACGUUCAUCACAGCACUAUUCACAAUAGCAAAGACAUGGAAUCAACCUAGAUGCCCAUCAAUGAUGGAUUGCAUAAAGAUAAUGUACUUCAUACGUACCAUGGAAUACUAUGCAGCCAUAAAAUUAACAAAAUCAUGUCCUUUCCAGCAAUACGAAUGCAGCUGGAGGCCAUUAUCCUAAGCAAAUUAAGGCAGGAACAGAAAACCAAAUACCACAUAUUCUCACUUAUAAAUGGGAGCUAAGCAUUGAGUACACAUGGACAUAAUGAUGGAACAAUAGACACUGAGGACUACCAGAAGAGAGAAGGAGGGAGGGGAGCGUGGGGAGCGUGGGCUGAAAAACAACCUUUUAGGUAAUAUGCUCACUACCUGGGUGACAGGCUCAUCUGUACCCCAAACCCUAUACCCAUGUAACAAACCUGCAUGUGUACCCACUGAAUCUAAAAUAAAAGUUGAGGCCAGGUGCAAUGGCUCAUGUCUGUAAUCCAAGCACUAUGGGAGGCUGAGGCAGGAGGAUUGCUUGAGCCCAGGAGUUCAAGACCAGCCUGGGCAACAUGGCAAGACCCCGUCUCUAUAAAAAAAAAUACAAAAAAUUAGCCAGGCAUAGUGGCGCAUGCCUGUAGUACCAGCUACUCAGGAGGUUGAGGUGGGGGGAUUGCUUGAGCCAGGGAGGUCAAGGUGGCAGUGAGCUAUGAUCAUGCCACUGCACUCCAGCAUGGGUGAAAGAACUAGACCCUGUCUCAAAAAUAAGUAAACAAAAUAAAAGUCGAAAUGAUUCUUUUAAAAAAGUGACAGAG
rnacentral:lncRNA from 1 species